rnacentral:rRNA from 1 species
GACGAACCGUGCGAACGUUGUUCGGAAUCACUGGGCUUAAAGGGCGCGUAGGCGGCUUGCCAAGUCCGGGGUGAAAUCCUCCAGCUUAACUGGAGAAGUGCCCUGGAUACUGGCGAGCUCGAGCGAGGCAGGGGUUGUGGGAACUUCCGGUGGAGCGGUGAAAUGCGUAGAUAUCGGAAGGAACACCGGUGGCGAAAGCGGCGCGCUGGACCUCUUCUGACGCUGAGGCGCGAAAGCCAGGGGAGCGAACGGG